AAUCUUCCUUUAAUUGCCUUAUUUUCUUUUUCUUUUUCUUUUUUUUCCUUUUUUCUCCCAUUUCAUUUAUUAUCUUUUUCUAUCCUGUAGUUAAAUUUUCUCUUGAUAGAAUUUAUGGGUUGAUCAAUUUUUGUUAUUUGCUAUAUUCUGGGUAAUCUGAAGGUGGUGAAGAAAUUCCAAGUAUGAUUGCAGGCAAAUUUUCCCCAUUUCUUUUUCUGCCUAUUGUUGCCUUUCAUGGGCUGCUUUCGCGGUGUAAAUGUGUAUCUUUUUUUUCACUCUCACAUAUGGCUUCACGUCCGAUUUUUGUGCAAGUUAGGUUGCAACUUUGGUUUGUAACCAUGUUAAGUGAAGCUAAAACAAUGUUCUCCUUGAAACCAAUGCAACCAUUUAUGCAUAUAUGUUGCAUUUGGACGUUUUGGGAACGAUAAUUAUGUUAAUUUUUCUGAUACAUGUAAGAAUAUCCAUAAUUGAAUAAAAAGUUGUCUAUCUGAUCAGGAGUAGCUUGCUGAUGAUAUGUGCAUUUUUUUUUUUUUUGAGACAUUUCAGUGUGCAAAGUUUGAUUACAAUGGAAAUGUUGAGCUCUUUAAGGAACUUAAUGGUUUUCUAUUGGUUGUUUCUCUCUUUGCUGUUGUUAUGUUAGUGUGAUUGCUAUUUUUAGUUUAUCCAGCGUUACACUCUUUUGUGAGUUGUAAGAAAAGUAUUUGUUUUUAGAGGUUUAAAGCCUGUUUACAAUUGUGGUUAAAUUGCUUUUCCAAAAAAUAAUCAUUUUGGAUAUUAAGGAAAAGCAAUUUUGAAGUUUUGCCUUUGUAGCUUUCAUGACUAGCAUAUAUGAAAUUCAACUUCAAAAACUUUAAUGACCUCUAAUUAAUAUUUUCAACAAUGAUUUUUUUUCCCUCAAUAGUAACUCAAAUAGCAAUGAAACACACCCUUAGGCUUUGAUCAGCCAUUGGCUUUUCAUUUUCUGUUCAUAUAUGGCUUCACAUCUAGGCCUUGUAUGUUACAGGUCAUGUGAUAGUUCUGUGUAGGUGACCUAGUUUAUGUGAAGCCAGAAGAAUGUUCUCCUUAAAAUCAAUGCAGCUUGUGUGUUGCAGUUGAACGUUUUGGGAACAACAUCUAAUUCUCAUUAGUCAUUGCUCUUCGGUUGACCUCCUAUUCAUUCAGUCAAAUGAUAGUGUAAAUGACGCACAAAUUCUUUCUUCCCUUCUACAGAUUCAUAAUGGUUGGGACGAGUAUUCCAUCAAUUUUGUUAGAAUUUUACAAAACUGAGGUGAAUUUAUUUUUCUAGGAGAGAAACCGAACUGCUGAACCAAAAUAAUCAUAAAAAUAUUAAAACCAAUGUGAAAAUACUGGGUAAAAAAUUCAAAAUGCAAAUUUCAAAUUUUUAUGUAUAAUGUAUACAAAAAUAUUAUAUAUAUAUACACACACACACACACACACACACACACACACACAUAUAGGCUUCAGUUUUAUUUUUAUCACCAAAACUGAAUCAAACCAAAAUUUACCAAAAUCUAAAACCAAAGCACACUGAGCCAAACUUGGAAGACCAAACCAAGAAACCAAAAAGCAUCAGUUUGGUUGGUUUCUUUAGUUUUUAGCUGGAUAGUGCUUACCCUCUAA